GGUUUCUCUAUGUAGCCCUGGCUGUCUUGGAAAUCACUCUGUAGACCAGACUGGUCUUGAACUCAGAGAUCCACCUGCCUCUGCCUCCCAAGUGCUGGGACUAAAGGCCUGUGCUAUCACUGCCC
rnacentral:miRNA from 14 species